rnacentral:misc_RNA from 1 species
UUUCCGUAGGUGAACCUGCGGAAGGAUCAUUAAUGAGUUGUCAUGGGGUUCGAUGCUGGCAGCCAGUAUUUGGAUGCAUGUGCUUGCCCUAACAAUCAUCUUCUUCCAAACACCUGUGCACAUUUUUGAGGGAGUCUUGAGUUGGUUGCCGCUCUUGGGUGAUUUUCUCACAUUCCCUUAAAUCAUUAUACGCUAUUAACAAUGUUGAACGUGCUCUGUGCCGCAAGGCCAUUAAUAUAAUACAACUUUUAACAACGGAUCUCUUGGCUCUC